rnacentral:rRNA from 1 species
ACGAAGGGGGCUAGCGUUGCUCGGAAUUACUGGGCGUAAAGGGCGCGUAGGCGGAUCAGCAAGUUGGGGGUGAAAGCCCGGGGCUCAACCCGGGAACUGCGUCCGGGACUGGUGCGCUGGAGUUCGGGAGAGGAGAGUGGAAUUCCCAGUGUAGAGGUGAAAUUCGUAGAUAUUGGGAAGAACACCGAUGGCGAAGGCAGCUCUCUGGACCGACACUGACGCUGAGGCGCGAAAGCGUGGGGAGCAAACAGGA